CCUGGAGGGUUAGAUUCAUUCCUCGAGAGGGAAUGCUGGAGCUACCACUGGUACUUAGGCGGCACAAGCCGGCACUCCGAAGUUAGCCUACACUACUUAUGCUCACUCGUGCGGUAUUGAGAAGCCUACGGGGGUCUGGAGGGUUAGACUCAUUCCUCGAGGGGGAAUGCUGGAGCUACCACUGGCACUUAGGCGGCACAAGCCGGACUACACUUGUGUAGGUCCUAAAACAAGAUUGAACAAUGACAUUAAACCGGUGUAUGACAAUCACUACUAGAUAGGCCUAGUUGUUGGUUUACUUGGACAUGCUUUUAGCAUAGUAUUGGACAUUUGGAC
rnacentral:lncRNA from 1 species